GAGUUGUGAUGAUCUGAGUGGUUGGCUCUCUUCCUGGAUUCUUGUCCUUCAGGUGACAGAGCUCACCGAACGCUCUCUCCCGCUUCCUCAGAGAUCCAGGACCUGCCUCUGGUUACACGUGGAUGGAGGGUCUCCCACAGGCCACAGGUCCCACCAAGAUAAAAGACUGGCUCUGGAGGACAUGCUACGCAGGACAGAUGGCAAUGAUGACAAUGGCCAGAGCCAAAGGGAAGCCUGCCAUCGGAUUGCAUAAGGAUGGUGCUGGGUGCCCUGGACGCUGGUGCGCUGGCCCUGCUCUGCUGCUCAGGGGGUACCUUACUCACUAUCUGGUCAGACAAUGACCUUGCAGAAUGCUUCUACCACUUUGGCCUUUCAUUCAGAGACCUCGCUGAUCUCUAAUCCUUCCCCCAUGGCCUGUGCAGCUGGGACCCACUCGUCUUUCAGGACGAAGCUCACCUUCCAGGCAGGUCCACCCGAAUGAAUGCCUGCUCUAAGCUGACCUCCAUCCCACCCUAUCCCAUUCCUCUGCUAGUAAUUGUAUUGGUCACUUUUUAAAUUAACUUUGUGUAUUUAACUUUUUUUAUUAGUUUAAUGAUCAUCUCUCCCCAUGAAGGGAAAGACCCUUUUUGACUUCUUCACUUCCGUAUCCCCCUGCCUUAAACCAUGCUCAGCAUCUAUCUGUUGAAUAAAGGAAGGGCCCUUUCUCUCCCUCAAACACGGGAGUAUACUGUAUGUCAUAUACUGGGUACACGUUUUCUCUCUUCUAUGCUAUUAGCUUCUUGAAGGUGGAGAAUGAUUCAUUCUUAUCCUUCACAAUGCCUGGGAGAGAUCUCAGCUUCAAUAAGUCUUCAUUGAAUGCAGAUAUAAAAAUAAAUGGUGCAGAGGCAGAGAGCAUUUCUUUUCUCUUUCAGAACAACUGGACACAGCAUUAAGCCUGAGAGAGAUCAAAACUAAUUGCCGGAACGAGAAUCACAGGCAUUCACUGCGUCUGUACCAAGGACGGACUUGGAAAAGGGUGUAAUCAACUAGCAGCACACGGCAUCCGGUGUGACCUCUGUGUUCUUCACAGUGCCAUUCUCUCCGGGGAACUGGCUGCCUCUGUGGCCUGUGGGAUGAAAAGCUUCCCAAAAUAGAGGCCAGGAAUGAGGUCUGAUUCUGAUGGGAGGGUCCAGAGCUGGAGGGCACCUUCCUAUGAGCACAGGGCAUCUGUGUUAUUCUCUCAGCAAAGCAUUUUGAUUUUCCUCAUCAAUAAAAAGUACUUUGAUUUUCCUUAUCAAUAAAUAUGGAGGUGCCCAUAAAACAUUUUGGGUAUCUGGGGGAUGUGAAAAGGUCAAGUGAGGUAUCAAUCCAGAGAGUGCGAGGUUUGGGGCAGAAAUGGGACCAUUAAGUCAAAAUGGUGUGCAUUAAAAAUGGUAGAGUGAUCUGUUCUGGUUGUCCUGCGUAAGAACACUAGGCCUGUGACCAGCUCAGCCGGGUUGAGAUGAGGCUGCAUAAGCUCUAGGAUAAGAGACUGGAGCUGCCGAA